CUGGAGUUGGGCUGCCCCUGCAACAUGCUACCAGAGGCAUUACCAUCAAGUUGCUGUCUUCUGCAGUAGCCUCCGGGGCAGUCUAUUCAGCAUGUGCUGUGCCUUCUGGCCCUCUUACUGAGGGACAACCAGGCAGAAGAGUGCAGGAGGGAGGGACAGACCCAGAGGGGGCGUCAGCAGCACCCCUGCUUGGCUGCUACCUUAUGAACACCUCAAGCCUGUUUCCAUUCACUUGUCCUCCAGGAUUCCAGAUUUACUGUAUGCUUGUUGAGUAAAUGCAGGAUUUACAUCUGUUCUGCCCCUAUAAAAGGCUGGAUCAGCCUCCUAAUAUGGUUCCACACAGGGCCCUGAAGAAGCUGGAACUGCUGGAAUUGAGAUGGCCCAUACCCACAGCGCAGGACAGGGGGAUUUAAAAUCAUUUUUGCAGCUCUGCUUUGGGAGAAUGUUAGAACAAGAGAAGCCUGGAAUGGCAAGUCUGCAUGUGAAUUGUCCCAUGUCCCAGUAGGCUCUGCCUGGAAGAAGUACCCAAAUCUGCUGGAAGCACCUCAGGAGUCAUACAGCACAGAUUGUGGCACUGAAGGAUUCAUUUCUGCUUGUCUUGGGUGUGUUGUCAGAAAUGGUUGAGGAUUAAGGUAGCUGACAGGGUGCUUGUGUCCAGAUUACCUACCCCACAAAAGCAAUUUAUAAUGUAUUGCAACAAUCUAGGCUUGCCUGAUGUAAGUGAAACAUAGAUAGAGUUUUAUUUCCCACUUUCCCAUUGAAACUAUUUCCUGUCUUCCCCAUAUAGGUUUCACUGGGAAAGGUAUAUAAUAUAGUAUUUGAUGGGAAGCAUCCAUACGUUUUCAAGCUAACUCAAACUUCACAAAGCUCUUCAAAAAUCUGAUAACGUUGUUUACAAUUAACUUUUUAUGUGUUACAUUAAGAUAGCAACAAAAAACUUGAAAGUUGUAAAAUUCAUCAUAGUAGAAGUUUUUCAGCCUCCUAAACUUUUUGAUGAACUUAAGAAAAUAUCAAAUAGGGGUGCGCUAUUUUAGACUGAAAUUAAAUUACACAGCCUGCUGCAGUUUACUGUAGAAUACUGUUCUAUCAUUACCAGAAAAAAAAAAGUUUUAUUGUAGAGAUUUUCCGGAAGCAUUAAGGCAAACCUUCUGCAUAAACCACGGUUCAAGGUGCUGUUAUGUUUAUUUGCUUAUUGCUGAUAAAUGCUGCUGCUCUCCCAAAGCAUGAAGUUCUUAUUUGUUUGUUGUCUGUCAUCUGAUAUGAUCUGAAAACAAGAGCUGUGCUAAGAGUGCAGCCAGAACUUUAACAAUUAGUUUAUUGAUUACAUUAUCAACAUAGCUUCAACUAUGCUACCAUUCAUGCAGCUAAGGCACUUUUACUUGCAUUAUAGUUCUUAGUUUAUAUAUUCUUGCC
rnacentral:lncRNA from 1 species